rnacentral:rRNA from 1 species
UACAGAGGUCUCAAGCGUUGUUCGGAUUCAUUGGGCGUAAAGGGUGCGUAGGCGGUGCAGCAAGUCGGGUGUGAAAUCCUCCAGCUCAACUGGAGAAUUGCGCCCGAAACUGCUGUGCUUGAGAAAGAUAGAGGUACGCGGAACUUAGGGUGGAGCGGUGAAAUGCGUUGAUAUCCGUAAGGAACACCGGUGGCGAAAGCGGCGUACUGGGUCUUUUCUGACGCUGAGGCACGAAAGCCAGGGUAGCGAACGGG